AACGGAUUGCGAAAAAACAGAAGCGAUGGAUAAAUUUAUAUCAAGGAAGGAAUACGCCCUUCAACCGAUCCAUUUUGCCGCAGACUUACUAAACCCUCGGUCUGUUGGUGCAAAUUUAUCAUCAGCCGAAAGGAUUGAAGCGAUGAAAUACAUUACUACUAUGUCAACCACGACCACGAUAGAGAUUGGUGAUGAAGGAGUGUCAAAGAUUACUGAGGAUUUAGGAAACUAUUUAGCUAAAACAGACUUUUUUGGCGAAACAUUUUUAUGGAACAUACUCGAUAAUGUCUCUUUGGUUACAUGGUGGAAAGGAUUUUGUGGACAUUCAUGCCUCUCCAAAGUUGCAGUCAGGAUAUUGACAAUGCCGUGCACUUCUGCGGCAACAGAGAGAAGCUUUAGCUCCCAGAGCAGCAUUCAUACGAAGAGAAGAAAUCGCCUAACAACUCAAAGGGCAGCAAAUUUAAAUUAUAUACAAUAUAAUUCAAAAUUGCUGAAACGUUCACGACAACAUCACAUACAAAGUCAAUAUCCUAUAGAAGAGACUGUACAGAACAACGUUUCGAUAGAAGGUAGAAACUUACAGAAGGAGAUAGAAGUAAUUGAAAACCAUAUUUCCGAAGAGGAAGAAUUAGACGAGGUAAUUUUAAAUUUAGGCAUUUUUUAGAUAUGUGAUAUGUGCAUGUGAUAUAUGCAGUUUGCUUCUUUUCCGAUUUUCCAAUGCAUUCCACCGUUUUCGAAUAAAAAAUUAUAAAUCUUAUGUUUUCAGACAAUAUCAUCAUGGCAUUCAAAUACAACAGGAAAUGGAAAUUCCGACGAUGAUUUUAAUUUUGCUGACUUUGCAAUGACCGAUGAUGAAAUUGAUCAAAGAAUGGAAACUAGGGAACAGAGACCAGCACGCAUUUUGAGACAAAGCAAAGUGAACAUUUUAGAAAACGUCUUAAUGAAAUCGGGUAAAGGCACAGAACAACCCCAAAAAAAAACGGAAGUCGAGAAGGAUACUUCAGAUGCCGAAAACAAGGUAGUUAGAUCUGUAUAUAUUAUAUUAUAAACCCAUUAUUUUUACUCUCUAUGUUUACACUUUCCUAUUUAAUUUCAGGAUGCAGUUCUGGAUUUGCCGGAGAUAAAAAAAAUUACACAAGGCUCAUUGGAAGAGCAAACAAUUGAAACUUCGACGUUUUAUAACAAGAAGGUCUCCAGUUGUCUGCGAAAAAGGAAGUUGUGAUUUAUAAAAGCCGCUUAAAACAAAACUAAAGAACCUAUGUUUUCAUUUCUUUAUUAUUUGUAUGUAUUUCUUAUCCACUUUUCUUUAUUUCAUAAGUAUGUAGUUACUUUGUGUUUAUUAUAUUCAAUAUGAAUGCAAACAAUUGAUUUUUUAAUACAAUGAACAUAAAUUACAUAAGUUACAUAAAUUACAUCUGGUUUGUAAUUUUUGGGUAAUUUUACACGUGUAACUUACAAUUUCUGAAAUUACACGUAAUUUCACAUCGC